UUCAUCCCACGCUCGAAACGUGUGGUAAGAACAAAGCACUACCACAGGCAAAAAAAUGUAUCUACUGUUAAAGAACGUCACGGAAAAGGUCACCCGCUCUGCAAAAGCUGAUUGUCGCCAUGAUGAUCCAAAGUACGGGCAUGCGCAUGCUAUUCGUGGCAGAAUUCGCGUCAUUUAUCAUCAACUGUGGGCACAUUUCUUGGUGUUUACUUCGCGAUUUAUUCUGGAAUUCGUCUAUGUGGGAUAUACAAAUUCAGGGACAAACGAACAACCACAAAAUCUGUCAGUCGUCGAUGCAAACGCAACGCUUACGAAAAACGAAACCAGUGCGAAUACGGACGGACAUCGGGGGUCUACGGGCUGGGCUCUUUGGACAGUUUAUUGGCUUAUGUUUCUGAUUGCAUGGGCAAUGUCUCUAUGGUGCAUGCUGAUAUUUAGAAAGCUUCGACGAUGGCGUCCGGAUACAGAGCGGGCACAGCUACCUGCAGUCAUUGAAUACCUGC